rnacentral:rRNA from 1 species
GACGAACGCUGGCGGCGUGCUUAACACAUGCAAGUCGAGCGGCGCGGCGAACGGGUGAGUCACGCGUGAGUAACUGCCCCCCUCUCUGGGAUCACAGUUGGAAACGGCUGCUAAUACCGGCUCGUGGGGGAUGACUCGCGUCCUAUCAGCUUGUUGGUGGGGUAGUGGCCUACCAAGGCGACUACGGGUAGCCGGCCUGAGAGGGCGACCGGCCAAAUGGGGCUGAGAUACGGCACAAACUCCGACGGGAGGCAGCAGUGGGGAAUAUUGCACAAUGGGGGAAACCCUGAUGCAGCAACGCGCGUGCGGGAGGACGGCCUUCGGGUUGUAAACCGCUUUCAGCCAUGACGCGGUAGUGGCAGAAGAAGCACCGGCUAACUACGUGCCAGCAGCCGCGGUAAUUC